UUCCUGGUGGCUCAGACAGUAAAGAAUCUGCCUGCAGUGCAGGAGACCCAGGUUUGGUCCCUGGUCAGGAAG
rnacentral:tRNA from 1 species